CUUCUGAGUCUGACGGGCUGGUGGAGUGUGAGCGUGGCUCCUAAAUUUCUUGGGUAGGACUGAAGAAGCACUUUUAAGAUGUGGAAACUCAGAGAGGAUGCCACUGUUUUGAACUAUUUUGAAGGCACAGCCACCAGAGCUUUAGGGACAGGGUAUUUUAUCACAGCAACAGAAAUGAAACCAAAACAACUCCACAAUAAAAUUCUUGAGUUUCUUGGGGCCAAGAAGAUGACACGAUAAGAUAAAGACACUGGCCAAGCAUGACCUCCAGAGUUUGGCCCUUGCAUAAAGGAGAAAAUUAAUUCCUUCAGUUGUUCUCUGACCUCCACAUGCGUCCUGUAACAUGGGUGUAUGCAUACACAUAAACACACAUCCACACGUUGUUAAAUAAAUAAAAAAAAUAUGUUAACAGUU